GGGGAAUUUUCCGCAAUGGGCGAAAGCCUGACGGAGCAAUACCGCGUGAGGGAGGAAGGCUCUUGGGUUGUAAACCUCUUUUCUUAGGGAAGAAAAAUGACGGUACCUAAGGAAUAAGCAUCGGCUAACUCCGUGCCAGCAGCCGCGGUAAUACGGAGGAUGCAAGCGUUAUCCGGAAUGAUUGGGCGUAAAGCGUCCGCAGGUGGUAAUGCAAGUCUGCUGUUAAAGAGUGUAGCUUAACUACAUAAAGGCGGUGGAAACUGCAUCACUAGAGUACGUUCAGGGCAGAGGGAAUUCCUGGUGUAGCGGUGAAAUGCGUAGAGAUCAGGAAGAACACCGGUGGCGAAAGCGCUCUGCUAGGCCGUAACUGACACUGAGGGACGAAAGCUAGGGGAGCGAAUGGGAUUAGAUACCCCAGUAGUC
rnacentral:rRNA from 1 species